UACGUAUGGUGCAAGCGUUAUCCGGAUUUACUGGGCGUAAAGGGAGCGCAGGCGGCGCGCCAAGUCUGAUGUGAAACCCCGGGGCUCAACCCCGGGCAUGCAUUGGAAACUGGCGGGCUGGAGUGCCGGAGAGGUAAGCGGAAUUCCUAGUGUAGCGGUGAAAUGCGUAGAUAUUAGGAGGAACACCAGUGGCGAAGGCGGCUUACUGGACGGCAACUGACGCUAAGGCUCGAAAGCGUGGGGAGCAAACAGG
rnacentral:rRNA from 1 species